AAAGGGGCGAGUAUGGGGCAAAAAGUUAUAGAGCUAAGCCUCUGAACACCCACACAGUUUUUUCAGUUUAUCUUGCUGAUUAUUAGUCUUCUUGGGACUGUAUGGGUGUGUAUACUGUGAUUGAUUGACAUCUUCCUGAGUCUUCUGUCAGCUUUGUUACACCUGUUAGGGCAGGACAAAAUAUACCUUCACCAUUCGUAUUGGAGAUUUAGAUUUGUGACCUCAUGGAGUUUCAUCAAAGCUUAAGCCCACCCUAAACCUGAGCAGAGGUCUAAUCAGCCAUAAUAACUGAAAACACCUGUGUGGAUGUUCACUUAGAGCCUCUAAUUGUAUUGUAAUAGAACUAAAGCCAAAGCUGUCUCAUUAAACAUUUCUCUGCAGUUUUAAAUGCCACCAAGGUCAGUCCUCUUAAGGAUGCCCUUCAGCAUGUUCACUUCAUAUACAUAUUGAAAAUGAUUUUGAGACAUUUAAUUGCAAAACUUCAGGAUGCAUUAGAUAAGCUUAGGUCAAUAAAGCUGCCAUCAAAUGCACUAAUAAUUUGGAAUUGUGUUUUUAGGACAUAUUGCCACAGACUAAUUAACAUUCAUAAUGUCCUGUUUUUUUUGAAAAUGUAUUACUUUGUCUUACAGGACGUGGUGUAUUUGCCCUAUCUUCAUUCUUCAAAGGAGAUUUUGUACUGGAAUACAGAGGAGACAUGAUAGAUGAUGCAGAAUCUCAAAGGAGAAGGUGCAUGUAUCACUCAUCAUGUGUUGCAUUCAUGCUUCAUUCAAGUGGAGAGGGAGAACAUGGUGAUGACCAUGAAUGCAGCUGAUGCUGUCAUUCCUGUGGAAAGCUCCCAGCAUGCUGUCUUGUUAGAGACGCAGAUGACUGAAACUUUGAGUCCAUGAGACACUAAUCAACAGAUGACCAUGAAUGCAGCUGAUGCUGUCAUUCCUGUGGAAAGCUCCCAGCAUGCUGUCUUGUUAGAGACGCAGAUGACUGAAACUUUGAGUCCAUGAGACACUAAUCAACAGAUGACCAUGAAUGCAGCUGAUGCUGUCAUUCCUGUGGAAAGCUCCCAGCAUGCUGUCUUGUUAGAGACGCAGAUGACUGAAACUUUGAGUCCAUGAGACACUAAUCAACAGAUGACCAUGAAUGCAGCUGAUGCUGUCAUUCCUGUGGAAAGCUCCCAGCAUGCUGUCUUGUUAGAGACGCAGAUGACUGAAACUUUGAGUCCAUGAGACACUAAUCAACAGGUACAUUCAUGUUUAGCACUUAAACUUUACUCCUAGAAUAUUUCUAACUCACCGUUUGUUGCUUUUUAUGCCCUUUAAGCAGGUAAAUAAGCUGUUUUUUUAAAUGCAUCUAGAAACAUAAUGGUAAUAGGAUAUUCAGGACAGAUUUUAGUGUUCAUAGGGAUGUUACUUUUGAUAAAAUAUCACUCUAUUCUGGGACAUUCACGACGUCCCCAUAGCACAUCUUACAUCAUUGUAUGAAUAGAAACUCUGUGUUAAGUAUCUGACAGCCUAGAGACUUGGUCUAGCAUUGGUCCCCAUAAGGAACCACGACAUGGUGUGUGAUAUGUCCCCACUAAGCUUGUUUAUUCAAUAUGUGUGAAAACAGGCAGAGGUUGAUGGAGGAGGAGGGAAUAUUGAAUUUGAUGAUUUUG